rnacentral:rRNA from 1 species
UACGGAGGGUGCAAGCGUUAUCCGGAUUUACUGGGUUUAAAGGGUGCGUAGGUGGGUCUGUAAGUCAGUGGUGAAAUCUCCGAGCUUAACUCGGAAACUGCCAUUGAUACUAUAGGUCUUGAAUUAUCUGGAGGCAAGCGGAAUAUGUCAUGUAGCGGUGAAAUGCUUAGAUAUGACAUAGAACACCAAUUGCGAAGGCAGCUUACUACGGAUUGAUUGACACUGAGGCACGAAAGCGUGGGGAUCAAACAGG